UAUAUUUGAUUCCCUCUUGCAAUAUGUGCUUUUGAUCAUGAAACUGCUGAGAAAAGGCUCCUUCUAAACCACAAAACAAGGUUGCUGCUGGUGCUGGGGCCCGAGGAGGUCCGCGCCGGAGGAGGGCCACAGGGACUGAGCGAGUGACAGACGCACCACCCGUCAAUGCUGCAACCCUGUAAGGCCUCCAUGGACUCUCUACGUGAGUGUAGAAUGAAUCAAGCCGACUCAAACACAGCAGCUAUUCCACAUGCAGUGGAAGAUAUUCAAGGAGACGACAGAUGGAUAUCUCAGCACAACAGAUUUGUCCUGGAUGGAGAGGGCUCUGCAAAGAUCUGCAGAGCCCUCUAUGAACUGAUCAUGCAGCUGAUGGAGGAACACCCAAGGAGAGAAACAAACCACCAUUGCCUGACUGGCUCCCAUCAGCGUUAAUCUCUUCCCAGCUUCCUUGAUCAGUUAUGCCACUGGCACUACAGAAUCCAUCUCUUUCUCAAAGCACUUUGCAUUGCAAAAUGUUCCUGGAUGUUCAGCUCUAGUGUUUGAAAGGGUGGAGGGAUUUACACUGGCCUUGCACGUAGAAGGUUUAUUAGACACAGGAGAAAAAAUAGCCUAGGAAGAUUGUUGUUUAAAUUUAUCUGAAACCAGAAGGAGACUUUUUAGUUGUAUGUGUGAUGCAUUUGUUGAAUUAUCACUGUUUUUCCUAGGACAAUAUCAAGUCCAAGAACUGACCGAUAUGAAGUUUUUUUUUCUUGGCCUUGCUUUCUAUGGGUUAUGUCAUAUGUAAUAAUUAUCAGAAUCACACCUACUUGGCUUAAAAACAGAUUUUUAUUUUAAUUUUUAAAGCUCAUAAUUUAACCUUUUUUCUUGUUUUGCUUUAUUCAUAUAUAUCCUCAAUAUUUUCUUAACAUGCAGCAACAGAUUGAACAUGCUUGCCAUUCAAAUAUGAGAGAUGCUAUAGUUACAAAGGAAUUUGUUCCACUUUCUUAAUCCUUCCUAUGCAUAGCAGUGAAAAACAAAUUUUGCCCCAUGCAGGGAACCCUUUGGAAGGUUUUUUGGUUUUGUUUGUUUGUUUGUUUUUUGUUUAGAUGGAUUCUCAUUCUGUUGCCCAGGCUGGAGUGCAAUAGCAUGAUCUCGGCUCACUGCAACCUCUGCCUCCUUGGUUCAAGCGAUUCUCCUGCCUCAGCCUCCGGAAUAGCUAGGAUUACAGGCCCCCACCACCACGCCUGGCUAAUUUUUUUGUGUUUUUAGUAGCAACGGGGUUUUACCAUGUUGGUCAGGCUGAUCUCGAACUCCUGACCUCAGGUGAUCCACCCACUUCGGCCUCCCAAAGCGCUGGGACUACAGGCGUGAGCCACCGCAGUCAGCUGGAAGGUAUCAUUUUUAUGUUGCUAAAUAUCAUGUCUAUCAUAAACCUAUGCCUGCAGCCUUUCCUCUUCUCUGAAGUAUAAGCCCCCCUUACUCUCAUGAUAUUACCAAUGUAGAACUCAUUCUUGUGUGGUAUUCUGCACUAUAGAGUCUGCGUAGUGUUCUGGUAUGUUCUGGUAUGUUUUGUUUGCUUUUCCCUGAAAAUCUGCUAUAGUUUCCUUUUUUUGGAAAAAAAAAACAACAAAAACCUCUGCUUUCCAUUCCAUACUACCUGCCAUUAUUUCAAGUUUUAUAAUAUCCCAAGGUGUACAUUUUAUUUUUUUUUAAUUGACUUUGUUUUUAAAUAAAGCAGUCCAGAAAAUUUGGUCUUUUCCCGGGAGGAAACAAAUGAAGCUGCUCUUCAGAAUAGCCAUUCUGCUUUUAUCCCACCAGUUCAGUAAAAAAGAACUAGAUUUGUUUAACUUUUAAGGUUUCUCAUUAACGUACCUUCACCUGAAAAUUUCCUUCAAGAGAGCUCUUUAUAAUCUUAAUGUUUGCUUGGGCAACAAGAACUGCCAUGUAAAAAUAAAUAAUGGGACGAUAGAUGGCAUAUUGUUCAAUAUACCUGCGGAAUAUGUAUAAACUGGAUGUACAGACAGAUAUUUUGAACUAGACCAGGUGGGUAUUGAAGUAACCCAACAAAAUGUGAUCUGCAGUGAUUCUGCUUAAUGUUCAAAUUCAACAGCUAAGGUAUAUGUUUUAUGUUCUGCUCGCAAGGCAAAUGGCAGUACUUUUGUGUGCUGGAGGAGAGGUUGCUGAUUGGUGCCAAGACCCACUUCUGAUUGAGAGGGAUAAAAGUUGGGCUGAAUUUUCUCUAGUCAAGACUCCUUCUAGAUUUUUUUUUUUGUCUUUAAAAAUACAUACUUUAAAAAUGUAUCAUGUCUUCAUUAAUAACAGAAAAUACACAUGGUGCUCACUAAAUUUGUUUACUACAUUAAAAUUUCCUUUUUGUUUUUAGUAGUCCAGGUUCUUGAGUUUUUUCAAGGCAGAAUUUUUUUAUUUUAUUUUAUUUUUAGCUGAGGUACAGUUGUAUAGGAAGGAGAAUUAAGCCAGAAUUUGGUGUGUGCAAAGACAAUUUCCUAUCCAGGUCUUUUUCUGUCAGAGAGUGAGAGUUUUGUCCAAAUGAACCCAUUAGGUUACUACUGAGCAUGCGAUUUUAGCUUUUCUUUUCACGGAGGAUCAAAUAUCCCUUUGUGAGCUGAGCUUCCACUUGUUUGCUUAUGUAUGUAAACUUCAGAUAUCACUAUAUUCUAUAUCUACCACAGCUAUUCAGGCAACAGUAUUCUAAUAGCUAGCCUUUAAAUAAAAAUCUGCCUCAUUACUAAUGUUCAAAAAAACAAAGAUAAAAAUAGGUCUAAUCCUAGGUAGAAAAGGUGUUUUUCCAUACAUCAAGAUUUAUAGAAAAGGAGAUUCAGAGUCAUGCUAAGACAGAAUUUCAAUGCUUACAUUGUUCUCCUCAAAGAUAAAUUCAUUCAUCUAACCAUCUUACAGAGUAAUCUUUGUUUUUGUUUGGUUCUUUCCAUUAAAAAAAUUAAGAUCGA
ensembl:lncRNA PAFAH1B2P2 PAFAH1B2 pseudogene 2